CGUCGCUCCAGAUGGCGGCUGGCUCCAGCCUGGCGAGCAGGUUCACGGGGGAACUGGGGGGUGGCAGCAGGUGGAGGACCCCCACCCCGCCUUGUUGGGGUAGGGGUGCCCCCCCCAGCCCAGCUGACCUUGGCUGCUGCUCACUCCUGCGGCCCUGAGUCAGGGACACUGGGCCAGAAGGGUCUGGAGAGGUUGAACCCAUUGCUCAGAGGAGAGAAACUGAGGCCCAGAAGAGGCAAGGAUGGUUCCAGGGUGGCAGUAAACCUGAAACAAGGUUGGUACCUGGCACACAGUAGGUGCUUUCCCAUGCACCCCCACCCCACCGCCUGGCGCCUGGAUUCACAUUUCGGCCCAGCCUCGAGGUCAGCGGCCCGUUCUGCCCUGUGCUGGGAGGAAUGUUCGUGGUGGCCUCGGCCCGGGUCCGAGAAGAAAGGCAGCCUUGUGGGCGAAAGGUGAGCCGCUGGGUGGGCGCGGGCCUGUUUACCCAGGGCCGGGCGUGUGGCUCGGGGUGGCGCCGCUGUCAGCCGCGCCGGCUGC
rnacentral:lncRNA from 9 species